GGGAAUGUAGAUCAGUGGUAGACCACUUGCCUAGAAUGUGUGAGGCCCUGGGUUCAAUCCCUAGUACUGCCA
rnacentral:tRNA from 1 species